UAAUGCCUAGGAAUCUGCCUGGUAGUGGGGGAUAACGCUCGGAAACGGACGCUAAUACCGCAUACGUCCUACGGGAGAAAGCAGGGGACCUUCGGGCCUUGCGCUAUCAGAUGAGCCUAGGUCGGAUUAGCUAGUUGGUGAGGUAAUGGCCCACCAAGGCGACGAUCCGUAACUGGUCUGAGAGGAUGAUCAGUCACACUGGAACUGAGACACGGUCCAG
rnacentral:rRNA from 1 species